rnacentral:sRNA from 1 species
CUGUCCACCCAUCUGCGCCGCCGCCUAUGCCCUUGUCUCCAAGUACUAGCCAUGGGUGGAAGGAUCAGGGAGGCCUUGGGGCAGGGAGGGGGAAGGGGUCAGGAAGCCAGACACCUGGGUCAGUCACUGGCAUGGCUGGACCUGUUCUGGAGAAUGGCUCCAUUUCAGUUGCCUCUUGGGGCUAACGCUCCCCACAGAGGACCCACAGAGCCAGGGCUUGCCAGCAGGCCCAGGGGACUUGGAUGGCAGGAGUGGGUCUGGAAGCCCCUCACCCACGCACCACAUUUCCUCCUCCUACAGCCUGAGCCCUUAUAGCCACGAUGGGGACAGCCUGUCCCGCUCCCAAGACCACAUUCCACUGGCUGCCCUGCCACUGCUGGCCACCUCAUCCUCCCGCUACCAGGGCGCCGUGGCCACCGUCAUUGCCCGCACCAACCAGGCCUACUCAGCCUUCCUGCGCUCACCUGAGGGUGCCGGCUUCUGUGGGCAGGUCGCACUGAUUGGAGACGGCGUUGGCGGCAUCCUGGGCUUUGAUGCACUCUGCCACAGUGCUAACGCGGGCACCGGGAGUCGGGGCAGCAGCCGCCGUGGGAGCAUGAACAAUGAGCUGCUCUCGCCGGAGUUUGACCCAGUGCGGGACCCCCUGGCAGAUAGUGUGGAAGGCCUGGGUCGGGGCAGCCCAGAACCCUCGGCCUUGCCUCCCCAGCGCAUCCCCAGUGACAUGGCCAGUCCUGAGCCCGAGGGCUCUCAGAACAGCCUUCAGGCAGCCCCCGCAACCACCUCCUCCGGGGAGCCCCGGCGGGCAAGCACAGCCUCCUGCCCACCCGCUGCCAGUUCUGAGGCACCUGACGGCCCCAGCAGCGCUGCCCGCCUUGCCUUCAAGGUCUCUGGCUUCUUCCUCUUCGGCUCCCCACUGGGCCUGGUGCUGGCUCUGCGCAAAACUGUGAUGCCCGCCCUGGAGGGUGAGUCCUAGGGGCUGCGGGGGCACCUCUAGUCUCUGUCUGCCCCUUCCUUCCCCACCUCCUCUGGCCUUCCCUCUCACCCAAGGCACGAGCAACUUCCCCACUGUACUAAUUCAAAGGCCUGGCUACAGAAGGGGAACCUGAGGCCCAGAAAGAAGGGACUCGCUAAGGGUGAGUCUCCCAAAGCCACUGGGAGGAGCUUCACACCUGUGGAAUGUUCUGCACUAGAAGGGGUCCAGCGGACACCACGGCAGCAAAUCGAAGCCGCUGCCCUCUUCUCAGCCUUUUUUUUGAGACAGAGUCUCGCUCUGUCACCCAGACUAGAGUGUCAGUGGCCUGAUCUUGCUCACUGCAACCUCCUGGGUUCAAGUGAUUCUCCCGCCUCAGCAUCCCAAGUAGCUGGGAUUACAGGCACCCGCCACCAUGCCCAGCUAAUUUUCGUAUUUUUUUUAGUAGAGACAGGGUUUUGCCAUGUUGGCCAGGCUGGUCUCGAACUCCUGACCUCAGGUAAUCCCCCCACCUCUGCCUCCCACAGUGCUGGGAUUCCAGGAAUGAGCCACCAAACCCAGCUAAUUUUUGUAUUUUUAAUGGAGACGGGGUUUCACCAUGUUGGCCAGGCUGGUCUCGAACUCCUGACCUCAAGUGAUCCAUCUGCUUCUGCCUCCCGCAGUACUGGGAUUCCAGGCAUGAGCCCCGGUGCCCAGCCCCUGUCUCACUUUAAGCAGGGCCCUACUGACUUCCCAGGGAGUGCAGUUUAGGAAGUGCUGGCUCAGGGUCACACCAGACAUCAGGGUGCUGCUCCCACACCCCCUACCUCCCAGAGUGCCCAGCUGAAACCCCCACCCCACAAUCUUUCUCUAUCUUCUGGGUACCCAGUGGCCCAGAUGCGCCCAGCCUGUGAGCAGAUCUACAACCUCUUCCAUGCGGCUGACCCCUGCGCCUCACGCCUCGAGCCCCUGCUGGCCCCAAAAUUCCAGGCCAUCGCCCCACUGACUGUGCCCCGCUACCAGAAGUUCCCCCUGGGAGACGGCUCAUCCCUGCUGCUGGCUGACACUCUGCAGACGCACUCCGGCCUCUUUCUGGAGGAGCUGGAGAUGCUGGUGCCCUCAACACCCACCUCUUCUAGCGGUGCCUUCUGGAAGGGCAGUGAGUUGGCCACUGACCCCCCGGCCCAGCCAGCCGCCCCCAGCACCACCAGUGAGGUGGUUAAGAUCCUGGAGCGCUGGUGGGGGACCAAGCGGAUCGACUACUCGCUGUACUGCCCCGAGGCGCUCACCGCCUUUCCCACGGUCACGCUGCCCCACCUCUUCCACGCCAGCUACUGGGAGUCCGCCGACGUGGUGGCGUUCAUCCUGCGCCAGGUGAUCGAGAAGGAGCGGCCACAGCUGGCGGAAUGCGAGGAGCCGUCCAUCUACAGCCCGGCCUUCCCCAGGGAGAAGUGGCAGCGAAAACGCACGCAGGUCAAGAUCCGGAACGUCACUUCCAACCACCGGGCGAGCGACACGGUGGUGUGCGAAGGCCGCCCCCAGGUGCUAAGCGGGCGCUUCAUGUACGGGCCCCUGGACGUCGUCACGCUCACCGGAGAGAAGGUGGAUGUCUACAUCAUGACGCAGCCGCUGUCGGGCAAGUGGAUCCACUUUGGCACCGAAGUCACCAAUAGCUCGGGCCGCCUCACCUUCCCAGUUCCCCCAGAGCGCGCGCUGGGCAUUGGUGUCUACCCCGUGCGCAUGGUGGUCAGGGGCGACCACACCUAUGCCGAAUGCUGCCUGACUGUGGUGGCCCGCGGCACGGAGGCUGUGGUCUUCAGCAUCGACGGCUCCUUCACCGCCAGCGUCUCCAUCAUGGGCAGCGACCCCAAGGUGCGAGCUGGCGCCGUGGAUGUGGUCAGGCACUGGCAGGACUCCGGCUACCUGAUCGUGUAUGUCACAGGCCGGCCGGAUAUGCAGAAGCACCGCGUGGUGGCCUGGCUGUCGCAGCACAACUUCCCGCACGGCGUCGUCUCCUUCUGCGACGGCCUCACCCACGACCCACUACGCCAGAAGGCAAUGUUUCUGCAGAGCCUGGUGCAGGAGGUAGAACUGAACAUCGUGGCCGGUUAUGGGUCUCCCAAAGAUGUGGCUGUAUAUGCGGCUCUGGGGCUGUCCCCGAGCCAGACCUACAUCGUGGGCCGUGCCGUGCGGAAGCUACAGGCGCAGUGCCAGUUCCUGUCAGACGGCUAUGUGGCCCACCUGGGCCAGCUGGAAGCAGGCUCGCACUCGCAUGCCUCCUCGGGACCCCCGAGAGCUGCCUUGGGCAAGAGCAGCUAUGGUGUGGCUGCCCCCGUGGACUUCCUGCGCAAACAGAGCCAGCUGCUUCGCUCAAGGGGCCCCAGCCAGGCGGAGCGUGAGGGCCCGGGAACACCACCCACCACCCUGGCACGGGGCAAAGCACGGAGCAUCAGCCUGAAGCUGGACAGCGAGGAGUGAGGCCCACACCACGCCUGGAACUGGGUUAUCUAUUGACAUACCCGAGGGACCCGAGGGGCUGCGUGUGGGAGGCUGGGGACCCAGACUUUUGGCCCCAGCGCCGGCCCCCCAGCCCCACACCCUAUAUCUCCGUGUGCUCCUCGGUUACUUCCCUUUCAUAUGAGGGGACCCAGCGCCGGGGGGAGGGAGGAGGACGUGGGCGUGGGCGCAGAGGCUUUUCCAGUGUGUAUAAAUCCAUGAAAAUAAACGCCACCUGCACCCC